rnacentral:rRNA from 1 species
AUUGAACGCUGUCGGCAGGCCUAACACAUGCAAGUCGAACGAGUGGCGGACGGGUGAGUAAUGUCUGGGAAACUGCCUGAUGGAGGGGGAUAACUACUGGAAACGGUAGCUAAUACCGCAUACCAUCGGAUGUGCCCAGAUGGGAUUAGCUAGUAGGGGGGGUAAAGGCGCACCUAGGCGACGAUCCCUAGCUGGUCUGAGAGGAUGACGAGCCAGAGUGGAACUGAGACACGGUCCAACCUCCUAAGGAAGGCAGGAGUGGGGAAUGUUGCGCAAGGGGGGCAAGCCUGAGGCAGCCAUGCCGCGUGUAUGAAGAAGGCCUUCGGGUUGUAAAGUACCUUCAGCGGGGAGGCGUUACCCGCAGAAGAAGCACCGGCUAACUACGUGCCAGCCGACGCGGUAAUAC